CAUACCUCAGUUUUAUUUUAACUUGUGUACUUAAAUACAGGUAUAAAAAUAAAUCCUCUUUUGAAACCAAAACUCAUUGUUCAGUUUGAGUUUUGAUACAUAUAAGAAGGGAUCUG
rnacentral:snoRNA from 1 species